GCCUUCACCUGUAGGCGGUAGAGGCACCCAGGGCAACUGCACCCUUCGGUUGGGGGGCAGCUGCCAGGGAGGACGGGCCUUCCCACAGAAUUGCUCAAAUGAUGGUGUAGCAGGAAGAGAAAUGCCAUAGCAUCAGAGAUGGCACGUUACUCCUGACGGUGUCGUCCCAAACCGCAGGUCUCCAGGAUUCAUGUGGGGCUCAGAUUCCUGUGACCCAAGACAACCUGUUGAGGCCGCUCCUUCCCUGCUGGGAAGUUGACUUCUGGGACUGGUGUCAAACAGCUGCAAGGAAACAAUUCAGGAUGCCAGAGUCGGGUCAUUUCUGGAGCUUCCUAACUGCUGAGUAUCUCUCCCUUUCUGAUGGUCUCCACAGUCCAGAGGCCUGAGCAUCUCUUUGGCAUCUUUGUCUUUCGUUGCCCAGGCAGGACCCCUGGAGACAAGGUGUAGUGGACGCCCAAGGCAUCCUGGCCCUCCUGGCUGGCCCUCCCACCCUGCACCCUUCUCCUGCAAAGCAUUUGCUAGUUAGAAUGAUUUACAUAGCCAUUUUAGGAUAGUUUAAACUUUAAUUGGGUUUUACUUCCAUGCUGUACUUCAUGCUUUACAAAGCUCCUUUAAAGCUGGUUAAACUGAGACCUGUAAUACUCGAAACACUCAGGAGAAGAGCCCCAGUCCCAACCCACAGGUGUUUUUAUUUCUGUUGGUUACCUUCCAGCGUUCAUUCAUCUGGGGCACUCCCAGCUAAAGGGGGAUUGUUAGCAUCCGUCAUGGAGGAGGUGGGGCUUGGGGGACGAGUGUAGGAUUUCUGCUGAAACUUUGCUGCACAGAUUACAUACAAGGCUGGCCAGCUGCUUAUGUUUCAGGAACUGUUGAUUACUGGCCUUAUUUUUUAACUGCCACAUCACAAAAAUGACACAUCCCGUUAUUUUGGUGGAGUUUGGAGAUGGAAUGGGGAUUGUGUGUUCUUUGUCAUGUUCUCUCCAUGCUGCAAAACCACAGGAGGGAACUCUUCAUAUCCCACAGGAUCGGCCUAAGAGAAGGCAGGAUUCUUAACAGCAAAUGAAAGCAAUGCUGCUGGGGCGUUAGGCUACCACCAUUACUCCUGGUUCAGGCACAGCACACCUGGUAAUUCUUGGCAUACUUGAUGGGAGUCCCAACUCCCACUGCCCUGUCACGCCAGUAAGGGAGGGUUCUGCAAAGCAGUUGAGUGGUUUGCUGGAGUGUGGAAACUCUGAGCUAGAAUCAGCCUUGGAGAUUCCAGCUGGCUCCAGCUGCAGCUCCUGGGGCCUCUCUGCUGCUCAGAGCUGCUGACUGUACCAGGAGCCCAGGAUUUGGUCAUGUUGGAAGGCAAGCAGCUGGACAUGUAUUUGGGGGCAGAAAAAGGAGGAAAAAUACAGGGAAAGAUCCUCAGACGACAAGGGAAGAAGGAGGCAGUGAGCACAUACAGGUGAUGAUGGAUAAAGCCCCAUUCCUUCCUUCCCUGAAGUUGAUCUUGGCCUGCUCAGCGACUUUCCCCAUGAGAUAGGAAAUCCCGAGUCUGGAAGGUUGCAAGGGAAACACUGGAAAGGCCUGCUGAGAAUCCCUUUAGGGCUUGCACGAAGUGUUUUUUUCUAAAAUCUGGUUGACUGCAGUGCCUUUUGACCCCGUUGUACUGUCUGCUAAAGCACUAAGAGGGGCAGGGGACAUGAAACUGCCCAGGUAUGACCUGCUUUAGAGUUGGUGGCCAGAGAUGAAGCCCGUGUGAGGUGCCACUGCAAAUGUCCUUGUCCAGCAAGCUGAGGGGGAGGUAGGGGUAGGAGGGCUGGUCUGGUCAUGGCACUCUGGCCUCACCAGUACUGGCGGGUAUCCGAUUCAGCUUAACUGUAGCCUAGAUAAGCUCUCCCUCCCUAAUGUCAUCUCACAUUUUAAAACCUAAGUCUGAUCAGGACCCUCCUCUACAGAGCACCUUCCCAUUACUCAUGUGAUGCAGCAUCAAAGCGCAAAGCCGUUCUGCGAACAACUACCCUGCCCUGUCAGAUUUGCUGCCCCCUGUUGGGGUUGUGUCUCCCAAAGGUGUCUGCAACAGUGUUUUCAGCCCCAUGUGUUCCGUCUGCUUCCCCGUCAUGGGGAUCUAAUUCCCCUCUCUUUAAUCUGGGCUAGCGUGACACAUUUGUGAUCAUACAACGGGACAGAAGUGCUGCUAUGCUGGGAGAAGCUAAGUCACAUGCAGUAGAGGCCACAUUCCCAGAUAAACCCAUCCUUCCAGUCAUCCCAGCCCUGGAACCAGGCUAGUGAGGGAAGGAGUGUGUUGGGUCACUGGUGUCCAGUAUAAAUUUCUGUGUGAUGAAAAUGCUCUCUAUCUGUAUUGCCCCCAUACAGUGGCGAUAAGCCGCAUGUUGGCUAGGGUUUAGAUAAAACUGAACAUCCUGUUAAAUUUGAAUUUGAGAUAAACAAUAAAUACUUCUUUGGUGUAAGUAUACCUCAUGAUAUUUGGAGGAUACGUAUACUAAAGCAAUUAUUUGUUGUUUAUCUGAAAUCCAAAUGUACCGGGCCCCCUGCAAUUUUAUUUGCUAAGUCUGGCACUUGGAAUGCAGCUAGUGCAACUGAGGAAGCAACUUUUAAAUUGUUCACUUUUAAUUAAUUUAAAUUUAAAUACCCACAUGUGCUGGUGGCUACUCUUUGGACAGUGCACUCAGAGUAAUUCCAGAUGCAGUGAAGUGAUUCUUGUCACUCCAAAAGUCAUGUCUGCCCAGAUGAAGCCCCAGACAUCAUAUAAUAGAAACAAGCUAUUCCCACUGACACUGAACUCCAUCCUAACUUUUGACCCACAGAAUUCCUACCAUAAAAGGAUGGCAGUUGUUUCAUGCCCUGAAUUUGUGGCAGUUCCUUCCUCAGCAGUGGUGGCUGGAAUGCCCCUGACCUCCCUGAGGAGAGACCUUCUCUCCUUGGACCCCUCCUUCAUUCACACUAGCAAACCACAAGCACACAUCUGCCUCAGGCCCUUUGCUCUGCCACUCCCUGUACUGGAAUUCUCUCCCUGUAUUCCCUUGGCUCGUUCUGUCUAGUGCUUCUAAUCUCUGCUCAGAUCUCACCUUUCUGGGAGGCCCUCCACACCACAGUGUUUAAUUCCUGAUGCACUUUACUCUGUUAAAAAAUUUUUUCCCACAAACUUCAUUGUCUUUACUCUCUCUGCAGAGCUUGUUUUCCAUCUCUUGUGAACUCUAAGAGCAAGGAGAGUAGGCACGGCUUGUCAGCUUUAGGAUCUGACGUGCCUGGGUGCUGGAACAAUGCCCAUCCCACAGGGGUGCCCAGCAGGUGUUUGUGGAACCAGUGAAGGAACACUGAGUGUUGAGGUCUUUCCAAAUGCCCCUCAAGUGCUGGGCACUUUGCUUGACUCCCUGUAGGCUGAAGGUUUUAUUCAUUCAGCAAAUACUCUGUGCCAGGUACUGUCACAGGCCCUGGGGAUACAGAGUGGCCAUGACAGGUGAGGGCCCUGUCCUUAAGUAGCCUCUAUUCUAGGAGGGGGAGGGCCUGGGAGGGCGACCCCCAAAUAGGCCAUGUAACUUGGUGUUGGUGAACCAAGGGGUUGUGGCCACUUCCACAGGUCUAGUCUCAACCUGGCUAUCCCUGUGACAGAGUUCUUAAACGCUCAUGCCUGGGCCCACCCCCAAAGGUUCUGAUUUCCAUGUUCCAAGUACAGCCCAAAUCAUGGUAGUUUACAAGACUCACUUGGUAGUUACGAUAUGCAGGUGGGAUUAGAACCACUUUGUCCAGGUGAAUCCUAGUGAUUGCCUGUGGAGCCAGGGGUGCUCAUCACCCCCAUUUUAUAGUGAGGAAAAUGAGGCUCAGAGACUCAGCCAAGCUGCCCACAGUCAAAGGGUGAGACGUGGUGCAGCCAGGAGUCCCUCGGGUCUCCCCCUGCACAGAGAAAAGGAUGUCUGACCGGAAGGCAGAGGCCUGCAGCUGGGGCCCUGGGCUUUGGAGGGGCCUUCGGCCGGCAGGUGACAGAUACCCACACAACCCCCAGGGCCUGCCUCCCUCCAGGGGCCUCUCCCCAUAGCUGAUCAGCUAAAAAGAGGCUCCAGGCCUCACCCCUCCUCCUCCUCUCUGAUUUUAUUGCCUCCUCAGCAGUUUCCCGAGACAAAUUGCGGGUGGGGAGGGUCCAUUUUCAGUGGGAGGCCCCUCCCAGGCUGGAUGAGAGGCACUGCUUUCCUGAACCUUCCUGGGCCCCUGGGGUGGUGGGCAGGGGGCGGCUCCCAGGCAGAGCCCCACAGGGUGGGAGAGGCAGCAAAUGUUUUAGAGUAGGACGUAGGGACCUUCUGCCCACCAAGUUCGCCCCUAAGUGCCUUUUCAGACACUUUUAGAAAUACCACAAUAGCAGAGAGAGCAGGGGCAGGCCCCUGGAGGAGGCGCGGGUAGCGUCCCGGGUGCCCACAGCUGGCUCUCGGCUGUAGCCUCUCCUGCCUUGUGUCAGGGUUACCUGCUCUUGCCCAUUGUCCUCUGGUCUUGUUCUCCCCCAGUGUGAGAGUCCCCUGAGGAGGGGGGAAGCUGUCAGAGGCUUCUCUGCAAUGAGGGAUCUUUUAGUCCAUAUUAGGGACAGGGCAGACCCCAGGCCAUCUGCAAUGAGGAGAAAAGGUGGGGUCUCCUGAAGGUGGGGCGGGGAACAGUAGCAGGAGGUUCUGUCCAGUGGUCUGAGGGAGCUCUGAGUGAGAUGUGCCUCAAAAUACCCCAAUCUUACUGUGUAAGUCACUCAUCCUUGGGUUUCUCAUGUGAAUAAUUAGGGGUGGGAGUGUCCUCACAGCAGAUGGAGGGAAAGGGGCAUCAAGUAGAUAAGCAUCCAAGUCCUUUUUAUGCUCUAAAGGAUGUGAGGUGCCACAUUUGACCACAGUGGUCAAAUGCAAGGAACAGUGAUUCAGAGGAGUGAGGGUCCAGAGCAAGGCACCAGACGGGGGAUGCCCAGAGCUGGUCUGCAAGAAGUGGUCAGUGACCAGCGGAGAGGAGUCGAGAGGUAGGAGAUGAACUCAUCAUUCACCCUACAAACCACGGGCCCCACCACAUGCUAGGCAUCAGGGAUAGCAGGAGACAAAACAGACAGGGUCCCUCCGUCAUGGAGCUUAUAUUCUACAGCAAGAGUAGGGACAAGAGAAACAAUAAACAAUCACAUAAAUGAGGUGAGGUGAGGGAGAGUGAGGGGGUUGCUGGUAUCUUUUUUGUCCCACAUGGGAAUAACAUAGAAGGAAAGAGUGGUUCGUAGGAGGUCCAAUCUCUGGAAGGGUCAGAGAAUUUGGAGAUUGACAUUUUUUAUUAUAAAGAACCAGGACAAGCUUAUGGAUUAAAGACUGACUGCCAGAUUUAGGUGGAUCUUAAAUGCCAGAGUGAGGAUUUGGAUGGCAGGUAAUGGGGAGCCACUGAGGGUACGAGCAGGGCUGUGGUCUGUGUGUGGUGACCCGCAGGGUCUAUGGCUGGGCAGGCCGCCGCACCGGUGGGGGCUGGAAUUCUGGGCAAAGAGUUAGCAUGCUGGGCUUGGGGUGUGCUGAUGUGAGGGGUGUUGAGUUUGGAGUGGUGGGUGGGGGCAUGAAAGCAAGUAGCAAACCCUUUAAAGGCAAUCAGGCAAAGAAAAGGAGAGGUUGUGGGUGGCACCAGAAGGCAGAACCAGGUGUGGCGGGUAGGAGAGACGGGGAGAGAGCAGUGGACUCCACUCUGAAGAGCUCCAGUCAUCAGAGCAGCAUUCAUGAUGGCUGAACCCCCCUGUGAGGUCAGGAGAGGGAGAUGGACAUGUGCUGGCUUUCGCUUACCAGCUGACCUCCUUCCUUUUUGCAGAAUCCCCUGAUUUUCCCUUGGGGUGCCUCUCCUCCAUUUCCAUACUCUGCCCUUCUGGCAUUGCAGUCCCCAACCUGUGCUUGCAGUCGUGGCGGGUGCACUGAGGUCUAGCCCGGGAGAGCCUUCUCCCCCUCCAGCCGCAAUGAUCGGCCUGCAAAGACUUGGUCACAGACAGACACCUGACCUUGUCAGGCCAGUGAGAGGCAGCCCUAGGGCUCUGGCUGCACUGUUGAUUUGGGGACAUGCUCACUGUCAGAGCAGCCAGGUGGGAAUGGGCUUGUGUGUGCUGCAGGGAGACCCCUGUCCACAUGCCAGGCACCAUGCUGUGUGGGGCAUCCAAGCGUCGGUGGUUCAUCACAUUCCAGUGUGGACAGUGCCAGGAGAGAGGGAAGCCCAGGGGCUGGACUAGAGGUGGGGGCUCAGGGAUGCCUUCCCAUAGGAAGGGAUUGAGUCACCCGAAGCCCGGGGGUUAUCUGGACAAUGUAGAUUGGAGGGAGACAUAAGUGUUCCCAGCCCACGAAGGAGGCAGGUCUGACUGCUCCACUCUGUGAGGCCAUGGAGAGGUGAAGGCCAGGACGUCCAGCUCUCUUCCCUGGCUGCUCUCACUCCCUGGGUGAGACCCCCUCUCUGGGUCCCAGCUUGCUCUUUUGUUAAAUGCCUCUAUUGGGCCUCAUCUCAUGGGGCAUCUGAAUCACAAAGGAAGGUACUAAAAUAUACAUUCCUGGGCUUCAUCCCUGAGAGUCUCAAGGGGCUGGAGGGGUUCAGGAAUGUGCAUUUUUAGCUAGCACACUAGAGACCACAUUUUGAAAAGCUCUGUCUGAUAAUGACAGCAGGCCCUUUGGACCUGGGGGCCCAAAAAGCACCCUGCUGAAGCAGGGCCAGUGUUUACCCAGAACAUUAUGGCCCUGGCGCUCUUCAUGGAUUACAGGCGGUCUCUUUGGGCCACACCUUUGCCAAACAUGGAAGGCUGAGCCGCUGGCAUGGCUCACCAUCCAGAUGGCCUGACUCAAAGUGCCCCAGGAUCUUGGAGCAUCAGCCAAAAGGCAUUGAGGACCCCUGUAAGAGAGGCCAUCCAAAGCCCCUGGGGAGGGGAGUGCGGCGGCCUGGGGAUUCUCUGGAGCUCUCUCAGGGUCCCUCUCUAAGCCACGCUUGCUCUGUAGCCUCACCACCUGGCCUUGUAUGCUUCUUGCCUUUGUCAAUAUUUAUUUCUUCCCUAGCCUCAAACAGCCUGGUGUUUGUUUAAAGGGUAGAAUAGAUGUGGCAGAGCUCGCCUCCACUCCCUGGCAUUUCUGUGGGGGCUGCCUUGUUCUCCACGUAUUUACCUGCUCCAGUGCAGGGCCCCAGGCCUGAUGAGAGCUUUUUCAUGUCACUCUUGGCUCUGUUUUCCCUCAGAGACAUCUUGAACCUGUCCUCUGGCUCCACUCACAUCGUUAUCAGACCUAUAGGCCUAGAACUGAGGUACUGGAACAUUCUAAAGGUUCCUAAAAUACCCCUCGAUGGAGCACUGGCUCCUGAUCCAAAUUCAAGCAAGCCAGAAAGAGGUUGUGGCAAAAGUUUGUAUAGCUGAAACAGAUGUACAUCGUUUUCUAUGAAAUCAGGUGCCAGUGUUGGCUGUGCCACUGCUCAGGCCAGGGGCCUGAGCACGGAGCCCCUGCUGCUCUUGAUAAAGGUGGGAAGCCACUGGGCAGGCACCGAGCAUUGUUUCUGCCUAAUUUGUUGAGAUGAGAUCUUGUGAUUUUCACCUGCUGUGAACCUUCAGGCAUGUUUGAAGGAUAGGAAAUGCCUGGACUCUGACUUCUCCACUCCCACAUUUCAAAAUAUUUUGAGAUCCGUUGCCUCAGUUUUGAGCAUUGCUCUAAUCAGUGCAAAUGUGGUGACCAUUCCUAUUCCAAUAAAGACACUGCUGACAAAUUGGACACUUCCUGCUAUGUUUUUUAACUUUUUCUUUGAACUUUAUUCUGUAUUUCUAUAUUCUGUAUUCAGAAAUGUAAUAGUAAAAAGAGGUAGUGAAUGUAGUAGAAAAGUUUCAUGAAUAGCACAAUUUCCCCAUACCGCUCUUUCUACCUGCUCAUACCCUUCAAAACCAGAGCCCACUGAUCAAAACCAGCACAUUAACCUUGGUACUAAUAAUACCCUUUCUUUUUCCCCUUUAAAAAAUUGUUCAAUUUAUUUUUAUUUUUCCAAUUGAUAUAUAGCUGAUACACAAUAUUAUAUUGGUUUUGGGUGUACAACAUAGUAAUUCAACAAUUAUGUACGUUAGUAAACACUCACCAUGAUAAGUGUGGCUCCCAUCUGUCCCCAUACAGAGGUAUUGCAAUAUUGUUGACUAUAUUCCCUAUGCUGUACUUCCAUCCCUGUGACUAAUUGGUACUGACACCCUUUAUCAAACUAAAGACCCUGUGAGAAUCUUAUGUGCUUUUCUACUAAAAUCCUUUUGCUCCAGGAAUGCAUUCAGGAUCCUGCAUUUGCAUUUAGCUGCGUUUUCUCCCUAGGGUCCUGCUGUGUGCAACUGAUCCUCCUUCAUUCCUUGUCUUUCAGGACCUAGAUGCCCUCAAAGAGUACCGAUCAGUUACUCUGCUGAAUGCUCCUCUACUCAGGGCUGUCUGGGUCUCCUUGUGAUCGGGAGGAGGUCGUGACUGGCAAGGGCACCCCACUCAUGGAGCUCGAAGCACCGCGUCAUGGGGUCAUAGUGCUGAUGUGCCUUAUUUCUGUCAGGAUGGCCUGGAUCUCUGGUCAAGUGGUCUCUCUCUGAAAGGCUUGAUCUGAAAUUAAAUUUGUGAAGCUAUUUCUAUCUCCCAGCUCCUGCGUAGUCAGAAGCAUCCUGGGAGAGAUACCUUGAGACUAUGCAAAUCCCUUUGUCCUCAAACCUUCUACAGAUUCUAGCAUUUAUCAGCAGAUCUUGUCUGCAACAGCCACCUUAGGAUGUCUGCCUAAUGCUUAUUAUCACUUCCUUCCACAUGUAUGGAUUACAUUCCAUUGUGGGAAAGAGCUGUCACUGCUGCUCCAUCAGUUUAUUUAAUCUAGUAGUCUAUAUCAGUAUGGACUUAUGAAUAUUUUAUUCUGUGGGUUAUUGGACACUAUUAUUAUUUUAUUGUUCAAAUCAUUCCAGCUCUAGGCCCUUGGGAGCUCCUUUAGGGCUCCUGUAUUCUCUCAACAAGCCUGUCUUUUUCUGGUUUUACAAGAAGUUCAAGGAUUUGCUGCCAGCCUUUUUCAGCUAGUUGUUGGAUACCCUCUAUGAGUUCUGCAAACAUUGUGACAUACUGAGGCCACAGACCACAUCUUGUUUGGUAUCAGUUAUGGGUCAUAUUAUGCACAAAUCAUAUCCCUUGGUUGACUGCUGUGUUGGCAGAGCUGGUUCUUUGGAAGAAAUUCCCACCAUUUGGGGACUGAUAGUUGUAACUGUUGUGUUGGGAGCCAGUAAAAUCAGGCAGGACCCAGGUAAGCUCCAACUCUACUGUCUUCUGUAGUUUAUAUUCUUUCUAACUUAAGUCUUCACACUGAACACUUAAGGGUGCAAAAGUCCCAGAGUCCCCAGCUCACAGUGACCCAGGCUCCCUUUGCAGGGCACACAGAAUCAUGCCAAGAUUUCAUGAUGAUGACCUUGACCUUUGUCCAAGAGCUUUGCUAGAUCUUACCAACAACUGAGAAAGUAAGUUUCUAGUUUAGGUGUCCCUGAAGCUGACCUUGUUAGAAGGAUUCAAGUGCAAGUACUUUCUGUGGCAGGAGAUCUCAGUGGGGUGCGGAUAAUCAACACAGGGAAUGAAGAGGGGCAUUACUUUUAUUAUUAAGCACAUCAUCCCUUUGUGCAGCUGGAGCCCAGCUCCACUGGAGAGCCCUGAGGGAGACAGUGUAGAAGCAGAGCUGUGGGUUCUCCUGCCCCAUCAGGAGCUGGGGCACUUAUACAUGGAGUCCUGUAGUUUUUCAUUGAGCAUUGCACCUGGGCAUCUUAAUUCUCCAGCACUUCUAAGCACUCAGGCAGAGCAGGUGCUUGGCUCCCCAGGAAGUACUCAGGUGAAGCUGGGCUUGGAAACAGUAAGAUUCCCCAGGAUAGAGGUGGGCAUGGCACCCACUGUGGGCAUGUCUGCAUUUUAUGGAUGAAGACACAGAACACUUACAGGUGCAGAGAAGCAAGGUGCCUUCCCUGGGGUCUCAAAAUGGAGAGCUGGUACCUGAAGCUGGGAAUAUGGGUAAGGACUGUGUUAGAUGGUUUUAAGUCUCCACCCAAGUCUGAAACUUCCUCCCUCUGCCUUUGCUUCUCGAGGCGAGUUCUCCACUGCUUGCUCGCUUGCCAAGAGGUGCACUCGCCUGACAAUGGCCUCCCAGGCUUGGCAGGUGCAUAUUUGCACAAAGACACGCCCAGCAAAAUGAGUGUUGGUUUGGCCCAGUGUCUUGGUAGUUGCAUGUUCACUGUUUGAGUUGGAGGGGGACAAACCCCUGUAUUUUUUCAGGAGGCUUCAGUCUUGUCAAACCACCAAUCAGCAGUGAUGGAAGAUUAGGUGAAUACACAGAAGCAGCUCUUGGCUUCUUGUUUGCUUAGACUGUGGGCCAACAGAGGAUCUGUUCCACUCUGGCCCCAGGUUCCUUGGACACGUCCACGAGACAGAAUUUCUGGGCACUGAGAUGCACUGUGCUGUGCUCCCAUUUCUCACUGCUCCCCUCCUGGCCUUCCAGAUCUAGUUCUUGGUUCCUAUUUUGACUACCCCUCUGCCCCUGCCCCAGUAGAUUCCCAGCCUGUCCUCCCCAGGUACUAUAGCACCAGAGCCCCCUUUGUGCAUCUGGUAAAGGAGGUCUGAGCCAGCAGGCCAACAAAUAUACGUGCACAGCCCCCACCUCCAUUUCCCACAGGAGGAAUCAGUCGUUAAAGAAGAAAUACCUUUGCCUGGUCCACCUCCCAGGACUGCCUGGACCUUCAGAGGAGAUGAGGUUACCACAGGAUUAUCACAACCAGCACCUGGCUGACUUCUGGGCUUGAGGCUUCAAAAGAUAUAUAAACAGACAAUAAGCAUCUAAAAAGAAGCUCCAUCUCAUUGGUAUUCAGGAACAGGGGAACUGAAGCAAGAUAGCAGCGAUGGGGGGGCUGAAGGGGACCUAAGCCCUUUAUGAGGGCAAGUUGACUCUGUUGACUACAAUAAAAGCGUCCAUUUUCUAUAACCCAGAGAAUCACUUCUUCAAAUCCACAGCAAAGAGACCCUGGCACACCAGGAUAGACACAGUUUGCAAAUAAAUAGCUUGUGGGCCAACCUCAGGCCCUGGACCACAGACUGAAGAGUACUGCUCUGCUGUGUGGCUUGCAAAACAAACAAAACUGGAAAGAAGCUCCGUAGAAAAAUGACUGUAUAAACGUGUAAUGUCCACAACCAUAAAAUCCAUGUAAUAGUGAAAAAUAAAGAUGGGAGGUUUGUAAGAUCUGAUGUGGAAAGGUGGCUGAGUGAAGCACAUUACUGAGUGGAAAACAAGUUACAGAGCGAUGCACAGUUUCCUUAGGUGUUAAAUGUAAAAAAAAAAAAGAAAAGAAAAGAAACCAAACUGUAUUUGCUAUGGGUACAUGAAUAUGUAUGAAAAUAUAUAAAAGAGGGACUAGAAAUGCAUGUGCAACUUUGAGAUUAGGAAUGGUGGGUAAUGGGAGAACUUUU